rnacentral:lncRNA from 1 species
AGAAGUAACGAGGGCGGCAUGGUCAUUAUGUAGCUGAGCUUUUGCUCAUGACUAUGAACACAAAAUGAAUGCCGGGAAUUAUGGCAGAAUUUAAGACCAUCGACCGUCGGAGAUGGAGACGACUAAACCCUAAUAUAAAGGUGAAGCUGUGCUCAAGACGAAUUUAGCAAUACUGUACAGGUAAAUCCGAUCAUAUCUACAAUUGUCAUAUAUUGCUGAUUGCAUACAAUGGAUAAUUUCGCCCUGCCUCCAGCUGACGACAGAAAAGAUAAAAUUAAUACAAAGGGAUGACGAGGAUUGAUAACAUCUAGAUGUGGCGUCACCAAGGUUGAUAGGAGCACUCAUGGUAUAGAUAUGAACCCUGCGGAUGAUUGCCAACCUAUUAGUGGAUAAAAAUUCGAACAGGUAUCAUCAUCAUCAGCAGCAUGGCUGUGUGGAAUUCAAGUUGGCGAGCCGAGCAUAAGGCCGACCUGAGGCAAGAGAUAUUUGUGUACGUGGGGAAACCAAAGGGCAUGGUACCCUGGAGAUAAGUCCAUCCUUCACAGCACAAGCCGCUGGAUGCAGGUGACUGAGCAUCCACACGCUCCCCGGACGUUCGUCAACCUUGACCGAUAAUUGCUGCGGGUGUGAGCAGAGGUUAGACUAAAAUAUAUGUGAACUGUUGACCCAAAGCUUUUAUCUAAAAAUGAUAUGAUGUGAACUGUCCAGGAAUGCAAACUAGAGCCAAGAACAAAACUAAAUGUCAUCAGGUAAGGGCCGUCUGUUUACAGUCCGAGUUCAUUCCAUCGUCCUAAUAAGGAAGAAGGGCAAAAAUAGCCUGACAUUACAUGUUUCGGGAGAUUCACCGUCUGCUCGGCGGAUACAGCACCGCCACUAACAGGAUCUGGUGAAGUCAGGAUCGGGUGAUCAGGAGACAGUAAGAUGCGUUUUUCCUGACUGGGAAACGAGAGAUCGUUAGCCACUGGAUCGAUGGGACACAAGGAAACGACUGUCACAAGCUGCUGAUGCAGCGCUGUAAAGAUGGGGGACACUUGCUGGACACUAAACAUCUUCUUGGACAUCCUUUGGGACCUACAGAAGAAUCGCAUGACAACCAACAUUAUUUCAACUGUAGAAAGAACCAGUUCUGCAAUGAGAAACUAGUACUGGUGAAUACUCCAACUGGUCAUAGAAUUCUACUCAAAGACUUUUACAGGUGACAGUUUCUGACUGACUAAAAUUAACGAAACUAACCACAACUUGGAUUUUACACAUUACUCGUGUCGGCGACUCUUUUCUCUUUUUUAUCAAUGCCUAGCAUUUCUGUUGUCUGGUGUUGUAUCUCUGAUUAGUAUCAUUUCUCUGAUUUACAGGUGACAGUAGUUGCUGUAAAUCUGCGUAUUUUCCUUCUUUUUUUUCUUUUUUUUUUUUGCCAUCUUGAUUUCUACCUUCUUUUAUAAAGUGUUUUACAAGUAGAGAUAUUUUUAACACGAGUGGAUGUCGAAACAAAUGAAUCAUGACUCAGCAGGCUCCUUGUUGUUUCCACCACGGAAGUACAUUUCUAUGUCCGUGGUUUUCAUUCAAGACAUCCUUGGGAGUAAGGCGGUGUAUGGUCAACCCAUCAAGCCAAUGCCAGGUGACAGACGAGAAUCAAACAGUCAUUAUAGUCACAGGUGUGAGCAAUCAGUGUGCAGUGAGAGGAUAAAUUACUCACAAAAUGUCUCCUCCUCCUCCACCCUACAUCCACCCACACACUCGUCUCCAUUGCCCUCCUGUGACCAGCUUGUUGCCAUGUGACUGACCCGCUAAGAUCUUGAGAAGCAGGUUUGACAGUGACCUCAACAUGCAACAUGCAGGUGACGGUUUUUCAGAUGCCACUCCGAAAAAAAGUGUUUUUUUUUCGGUCCCUCCCCCUACUCUCAGUGAAUUAUUUCCCUAGCUACUUCAGAGCUUUACAUGUGGCGAGUGUGAAGAAAGUGUGUUACAAGCUGUAAAACUCUCAUUGGCACAGUUUACAGGCCUGAAGAGUGAUGGCGGCUGCUGGAUGGGAAAGAGCAAACGAGCUCAAGAACGAAAGGUUGCUGCUGGUGUCAAGGAGAACAUAAGAAUCUAGUUAGCCACUGUUUGCGGUUAUUUCUGUGUGAAUGGGUGGAGUGGGGUUUGGUAAUGAAGACAGAAAACAACCACAUUUUUCACUCCUUUCUUCUUCCGGGUUGUCUAUCUCGCGCACGCGCACACACACACAGCUAAAGAUCUUGUAGCACGAAUGGUCCUCUUUCCCCAUCCUGUAACUACUACAGCACGUGACCCCAGGGAAUGAAAAGCCAUUCCUGUUUAAUGAAGUGUCAAGGCCAGCGACCAUGAGCAGGCAGAAGAGGCAGAGCCGGUUACUGAGGCCUCCUUAUCUGUCGUCUGCCUCAGCCUCGGUUGCCCUAGCAAGGAUCUGGAACAAGCCCUCCCCUCCAUCCUCCCACAAGCACCGCAAGCCUCCAUUCCCGCCGGGAAAGAUUUUGUCGCUUCGCCAUUGAUGAAGAAAGCUCUGGAAUCGAUUUCUUUUUUUUUUCUGUUUUUUUUU